CAUUCAUCUCUCUAUGUUUCCUGAAGGCACACGCCACUAGCUGCUCCAUGAUCCUGCCACUGCCUCUGUUUGUCCUUCUGUGUCGCGACCGGUCUCGCCAGCAAGAAUGACGCCGCAACAGGAUCCUUCUCAGCAGCACUUUAUUGGGAGCUCCUCUUGAAGUUUGAAGCGAAGGACCCCGAUAUCCUGGAGCUGCUGGCUUAUAUAGCCGAGCGAAAAUAUAUACAAGUAGAGUCACCAAGGAGACAAAUCUCUGAACCUGCUCCUGAGAGAUUAUCUAGACUAGCUUAGUUGAGACAAGAAGAUUCACCAUACAUGAGUGGUGUGGUUCAUGGGCCGGGCUCCUGGAAAGAACAAAAAUAAAGCAAGUUGAAAGACA